rnacentral:misc_RNA from 1 species
GUUUUCUUGUUCAGCGAGUCACCUGCUCCUGAAAAUCAAAUAAGAGCUUUGCAGUUGGAGGCAAGCUUUCUUCGAAACCAAAUCAUUUCUGCACGUAAAGAAAACAAAGAAUGAGUAGAGGAAGUGGAGGUGGAUACGAUCGUCACAUCACCAUCUUCUCCCCUGAAGGUCGACUCUUUCAAGUCGAAUAUGCGUUUAAGGCAGUGAAGGCGGCAGCCAUCACUUCGAUCGGAGUUCGGGGGAAGGACUCUGUCUGUGUUGUCACGCAGAAGAAGGUUCCGGACAAGCUUUUGGAUCAGACUAGUGUCACCCACCUUUUUCCUAUUACCAAGUACCUCGGAUUGCUGGCUACCGGCAUGACAGCUGAUGCAAGGACUUUAGUUCAACAAGCGCGGAAUGAGGCAGCUGAGUUUCGGUUCAGAUAUGGAUAUGAAAUGCCUGUGGAUGUAUUGGCCAAGUGGAUUGCCGACAAAUCACAGGUUUACACACAGCAUGCUUACAUGAGACCCCUUGGAGUAAUUGCCCUGGUUUUGGGUAUUGAUGAGGAGAAUGGACCUCAACUCUACAAGUGUGAUCCAGCUGGCCACUUUUAUGGUCACAAGGCUACCAGUGCUGGAUUGAAAGAACAAGAGGCUAUCAAUUUUUUGGAAAAGAAAAUGAAAAAUGACCCCGCU